rnacentral:pre_miRNA from 1 species
AGCCUUCUGUAUCCGUGCUCAGACUUCGUCACAAACCAGACCACAAUGGCUGAUGAGAAUCCCGAAAUAAGUGAAGCG